rnacentral:rRNA from 1 species
AUUGAACGCUGGCGGCAGGCUUAACACAUGCAAGUCGAGCGGAGAUGAGGUGCUUGCACCUUAUCUUAGCGGCGGACGGGUGAGUAAUGCUUAGGAAUCUGCCUAUUAGUGGGGGACAACAUUCCGAAAGGAAUGCUAAUACCGCAUACGCCCUGCGGGGGAAAGCAGGGGAUCUUCGGACCUUGCGCUAAUAGAUGAGCCUAAGUCGGAUUAGCUAGUUGGUGGGGUAAAGGCCUACCAAGGCGACGAUCUGUAGCGGGUCUGAGAGAAUGAUCCGCCACACUGGGACUGAGACACGGCCCAGACUCCUACGGGAGGAAGCAGUGGGGAAUAUUGGACAAUGGGCGGAAGCCUGAUCCAGCCAUGCCGCGUGUGUGAAGAAGGCCUUUUGGUUGUAAAGCACUUUAAGCGAGGAGGAGGCUACCUGGAUUAAUACUCUAGGAUAGUGGACGUUACUCGCAGAAUAAGCACCGGCUAACUCUGUGCCAGCCGCCGCAGUAAAAC